UACAGAGGUGGCAAGCGUUGUUCGGAUUCAUUGGGCGUAAAGGGUGCGUAGGCGGCGCGGUAAGUCGGGUGUGAAAUCUCGGGGCUUAACUCCGAAACUGCAUUCGAUACUGCCGUGCUUGAGGACUGGAGAGGAGACUGGAAUUUACGGUGUAGCGGUGAAAUGCGUAGAUAUCGUAAGGAAGACCAGUGGCGAAGGCGGGUCUCUGGACAGUUCCUGACGCUGAGGCACGAAGGUCAGGGGAGCAAACGGG
rnacentral:rRNA from 1 species